GAUGAACGCUGGCAGCGUGCCUAAUACAUGCAAGUCGAGCGAAUGGAUUAAGAGCUUGCUCUUAUGAAGUUAGCGGCGGACGGGUGAGUAACACGUGGGUAACCUGCCCAUAAGACUGGGAUAACUCCGGGAAACCGGGGCUAAUACCGGACAACAUUUUGAACCGCAUGGUUCGAAAUUGAAAGGCGGCUUCGGCUGUCACUUAUGGAUGGACCCGCGUCGCAUUAGCUAGUUGGUGAGGUAACGGCGCACCAAGGCAACGAUGCGUAGCCGACCUGAGAGGGUGAUCGGCCACACUGGGACUGAGACACGGCCCAGAUUCCUACGGGAGGCAGCAGUAGGGAAUCUUCCGCAAUGGACGAAAGUCUGACGGAGCAACGCCGCGUGAGUGAUGAAGGCUUUCGGGUCGUAAAACUCUGUUGUUAGGGAAGAACAAGUGCUAGUUGAAUAAGCUGGCACCUUGACGGUACCUAACCAGAAAGCCACGGCUAACUACGUGCCAGCCGCCGUCGUAA
rnacentral:rRNA from 1 species